rnacentral:rRNA from 1 species
GUUUGAUCCUGGCUCAGGACGAACGCUGGCGGCGUGCUUAACACAUGCAAGUCGAGCGGGAACCCAGGAAGGGGUAACCCUCCCUGGGGGAGAGCGGCGAACGGGUGAGUAUCACGUGGGCAACCUGCCCCAGACACUGGGAUAACUCCGGGAAACCGGGGCUAAUACCGGAUACUUCGACCGGACCGCAUGAUCUGGUCGAGAAAGCUCCGACGGUCUGGGAUGGGCCCGCGGCCUAUCAGCUUGUUGGUGGGGUAACGGCCCACCAAGGCGACGACGGGUAGCUGGUCUGAGAGGACGGCCAGCCACACUGGGACUGAGACACGGCCCAGACUCCUACGGGAGGCAGCAGUGGGGAAUAUUGCGCUAAUGCGCGAAAGCGUGACGCAGCGACGCCGCGUGGGGGAUGAAGGCCCUCGGGUCGUAAACCCCUUUCGGCAGGGACGAAGCGAAAGUGACGGUACCUGCAGAAGAAGUCCCGGCUAACUACGUGCCAGCAGCCGCGGUAACACGUAGGGGACGAGCGUUGUCCGGAUUCAUUGGGCGUAAAGCGCGCGUAGGCGGUCGUGCAAGUCGGUCGUGAAAUCCCGGGGCUCAACCCCGGGACUGCGUCCGAUACUGCACGACUGGAGGCAGGUAGGGGAGAUCGGAAUUCCUGGUGUAGCGGUGAAAUGCGCAGAUAUCAGGAGGAACACCGGUGGCGAAGGCGGAUCUCUGGGCCUUGCCUGACGCUGAGGCGCGAAAGCUAGGGGAGCGAACAGGAUUAGAUACCCUGGUAGUCCUAGCCGUAAACGUUGGGUGCUAGGUGUGGGCGGACAUCGACCCCGUCCGUGCCGAAGCUAACGCAUUAAGCACCCCGCCUGGGGAGUACGGCCGCAAGGCUAAAACUCAAAGGAAUUGACGG